UAGGAGCUGUGAACAAUGUUGGACUAACUCCACUGGGAGAUGCAGUCAGAAUGGGGAGGCUGGACAUUAUCAAGUACCUCAUCACAGAGUGCAAUGUGAAUAUCAAUGGAUGAAUUCAAGGGCAACAGAAGAAUCUGUUCUCAAGUAUCAAGUAUUUGUAACUGUUUAUGCAUUACAUACGUGGAGCAGCAGCUUGACAAAUAUCAUUUGUACUGCAUCCUUCUUCUUACAGUAUUAUCUUCAGAACUGAAUAAAAAAAAAUGUAUGUUUGAAGAUAUGGGUUUCUAUUUACCAUUA